rnacentral:rRNA from 1 species
GUGGGAAUCAAUUUAAUUUGAAUUUAAUAAAUUAUUUUUUUAAGUUAUUUAAAUAAAAUAUUUUUAAGCUUUAGUAAUUAUUUGUGAAUAAAUUAUAGUAAUAAUAGAAGAUUAGUAUUGUGGAAGAAUUAGGUUUAAUAUGUAAAAGAAUAAUUUAUUUUUAGUACCUUGUGUAUCAGGGUUUAUUAAUUAUAAAUAAAUUAUUUUAUUUUCUCGAUUUAAAUAGAGUUAAUUAUUUAUAAAUUUUACUGUGAAAUAAGUAUUUAUAAUAUAUAGUUAGUAAUGAAACGUUAAUCGUUUUUUAAAAUAUCUAGUUAUUAAAGAAAAAAAUUUAAUUUUAAUUAUAUAAAUUUUAGGUUUAAUUUUUAAAAGGUCAAAAUUUAUAUAAUUAAUAUUAAUAGGGAUUAGCUUAUUAAUAAAUAUUUAAAAAUAAACUAUAAAGUUUUAAAUAUGUAGAAUUAGAAAUUUUCAUCAUAUAAUUUGUUACAAUUAAUUUUAUAUUAAAAAAAAUUUAUAUUAGUUUUAAAUAGUUUAUUUAAUUAUUAAAUUUAAUAGUAUUUAUUUAAGAAAAAAUGAUAAAAUUAGUAUAAAGUUUUGUAAUAUAAUUUUUUAAAAGAAAAAUUAUUAAAAGGAAUUCGGCAAAUAUAUUUUUCGCCUGUUUAAUAAAAACAUGUCUUUUUGUAAAAAAUUUAAAGUCUGGCCUGCCCAAUGAGUAUUUUAAUGGCCGCAGUAUUUUGACUGUGCAAAGGUAGCAUAAUCAUUAGUUUUUUAAUUAAAAGCUGGAAUGAAAGGUUGAACGAAAAAAAAACUGUCUCUUAAUAAUUUAUUUAUAAUUUUAUUUUUAAGUUAAAAAGCUUAAAUUUGUUUAAAAGACGAGAAGACCCUAUAGAGUUUUAUAGUUUUUUUUUUAAUUUUUUAUUUUAAUUUGUAAAAAUUUAAUAGAAUAAUUAUUUAGUUGGGGUGAUUAAAAAAUUUAUUGAACUUUUUUUUUAUGAAAACAUUAAUUUAUGAUUUUUUGAUCCAUAGAUAUGAUUAAAAGAUUAAAUUACCUUAGGGAUAACAGCGUAAUUUCUUUUUAGAGCUCAAAUCGAUAAAGAAGUUUGCGACCUCGAUGUUGGAUUAAAAUUUAUUUUUGGUGUAGAAGCUGAAAUAUUAGGUCUGUUCGACCUUUAAAAUUUUACAUGAUCUGAGUUUAAACCGGUGUGAGCCAGGUUGGUUUCUAUCUUUAAAAAUUUAAAGUAUUUUAGUACGAAAGGACCAAAUAGUAAUAAAAUUUAUUUUUUAUAUUGAAUAAUAUUAAAUAUUAUUUUGGCAGAAUAGUGCAUUAAAUUUAGAAUUUAAUUAUGUAAUUUAUAUUAC